rnacentral:rRNA from 1 species
UAGGAUUCCCUUAGUAGCUGCGAGCGAACAGGGAUAAGCCCAGCACUGAAUCCCGAGACCGGUAACCGGUCACUGGGAAAUGUAGUGUUAGGGAGAACUCAUUUAUCCUAAGAUUGUACGGUGCGUCCAAGUCCUUCUUGAACGGGGCCACAGCCCAUAGAGGGUGCCAGGCCCGUAGUGACCACUGUCAAUUUUGGGAGAGUCUCUCCUCAGAGUCGGGUUGCUUGAGAGUGCAGCCCUAAGUGGGUGGUAAACUCCAUCUAAGGCUAAAUAUAACCACGAGACCGAUAGCGAACAAGUACCGUGAGGGAAAGUUGAAAAGCACUUUGAAGAGAGAGUUCAAUAGUACGUGAAACCGUUCAGGGGUAAACCUGAGAAACCCGAAAGGUCGAAAAAGGAAAUUCAUUCGUAUUUCAAUACUAACAAUUUGUACACUAGUAUAGAAUUUAAGCAAAUUUUUUUGUUUUUAUUCAACUUGUACAUAUUGUUAAAUAGUGUUGAAUAUGUGCACUUUUCCUUUAGUAGGACGUCGCGAUCUGUUGGUAUCAUAUUAAUUUAUGGCUUAUGGUGACAGACUAUACGUUUAACUUUUAUUAGUUAUUAACUGUAUAGACCCAUAAUGUUCCUAAUUAAUUAACCGACAGUAUAAUAUAUAGUACAGAGCCGCAAUAUAAUGCGUUUGACCUAUGGCAAGCAUGUUUGGUGUUUAUUGGUGUUACAUACCUAGUAUGUACCCAGUCCCAAAUAUCUGUUAGCUAUAGUGUUCUCAAACAGACUCUGACCAAUACACAAUACUAAUCAGCGACGCUAUAGCUUUGGGUAAUUUCAGGAC